rnacentral:rRNA from 1 species
ACGGGUGAGUAAUGUCUGGGAAACUGCCUGAUGGAGGGGGAUAACUACUGGAAACGGUAGCUAAUACCGCAUAACGUCGCAAGACCAAAGAGGGGGACCUUCGGGCCUCUUGCCAUCGGAUGUGCCCAGAUGGGAUUAGCUAGUAGGUGGGGUAGCGGCUCACCUAGGCGACGAUCCCUAGCUGGUCUGAGAGGAUGACCAGCCACACUGGAACUGAGACACGGUCCAGACUCCUACGGGAGGCAGCAUG